rnacentral:rRNA from 1 species
UACGGAAGGGGCGAGCGUUGUCCGGAAUCACUGGGCGUAAAGGGUGCGUAGGCGGGUCUUUAAGUCAGGGGUGAAAUCCUGGAGCUCAACUCCAGAACUGCCUUUGAUACUGAAGAUCUUGAGUUCGGGAGAGGUGAGUGGAACUGCGAGUGUAGAGGUGAAAUUCGUAGAUAUUCGCAAGAACACCAGUGGCGAAGGCGGCUCACUGGCCCGAUACUGACGCUGAGGCACGAAAGCGUGGGGAGCAAACAGGG